CUGGUGGUUGUAUAUCUGCAGGCCUACAAGAUGUUCCUGAUGUUGCUAACCUGUCUGAUAUCGGUUUUAAAUUUGUCAAACGUUCAGCCAAUAUUGGACCCCUCUUUCACAACUUCGCUCUGCAGCAAUAUAUAAUUCUUUGUUCUCAGAUUAUGGAUGGAGGAUUUAGAGACAAGCCUGGAAAGAGCAGAGACUUCUACCACACAUGUUAUUGUUUAAGUGGUCUUUCAGUGUGCCAGUAUAUCAGUUUGAAGGAUGCUGACUCUUUGCCUACGGCGCAAGAAGUGCUUGGUCCAUAUUCAAAUCUCUUAGAACCAAUACACCCUUUGUAUAAUGUAGUCCUUGACCGUUACUACAAUGUUCAUGAGUUCUUCUCACAAUUGUAGAGUAGCAGGUGAUAAUCUUCUGAAUAUUAGAAGCCAUUGAGAUAAGAGGAGUGAGGGACAGAGAAAGGUUUAUUGCAAA